UCGGGAAUUUUGGGCAAUGGGCGCAAGCCUGACCCAGCAACGCCGCGUGAAGGAUGAAGCUUUUCGGAGUGUAAACUUCAUAAGAAUGGGACGAAUAAGAGAGGGCUAAUAUCCCUUUUGAUGACGGUACCAUUUGUAAGCUCCGGCUAACUCCGUGCCAGCAGCCGCGGUAAUACGGGGGGAGCAAGCGUUGUUCGGAUUUACUGGGCGUAAAGGGCGCGUAGGCGGCGCGACAAGUCACUUGUGAAAUCUCCGGGCUUAACCCGGAGCGGCCAAGUGAUACUGUAGUGCUAGAGUGCGGAAGGGGCUACUGGAAUUCUCGGUGUAGCGGUGAAAUGCGUAAAUAUCGAGAGGAACACCUGCGGCGAAGGCGGGUAGCUGGGCCGACACUGACGCUGAGGCGCGAAAGCCAGGGGAGCGAACGGGAUUAGAUACCCCGGUAGUCCUGGCCUUAAACGAUGGAUGCUUGGUGUCCGGGGUUACAAAGUCCCUGGGUGCCGGCGCUAACGCAUUAAGCAUCCCGCCUGGGGAGUAC
rnacentral:rRNA from 1 species